AACGAACGCUGGCGGCAUGCCUAACACAUGCAAGUCGAACGAGACCUUCGGUUCUAGUGGCGCACGGGUGCGUAACGCGUGGGAACCUGCCCUUAGGUUCGGAAUAACUCCCCGAAAGGGGUGCUAAUACCGGAUAAUGUCUUCGGACCAAAGAUUUCUCGCCUUUGGAUGGGCCCGCGUUGGAUUAGCUAGUUGGUAGGGUAAAAGCCUACCAAGGCGACGAUCCAUAGCUGGUCUGAGAGGAUGAUCAGCCACACUGGGACUGAGACACGGCCCAGACUCCUACGGGAGGCAGCAGUGGGGAAUAUUGGACAAUGGGCGAAAGCCUGAUCCAGCAAGGCCGCGUGAGUGAUGAAGGCCUUAGGGUUGUAAAGCUCUUUUACCCGGGAUGAUAAUGACAGUACCGGGAGAAUAAGCUCCGGCUAACUCCGUG
rnacentral:rRNA from 1 species